rnacentral:rRNA from 1 species
UACGUAGGCAGCAAGCGUUGUUCGGAUUUACUGGGCGUAAAGGGCGCGUAGGCGGCAUGACAAGUCACUUGUGAAAUCUCCGGGCUUAACUCGGAACGGUCAAGUGAUACUGUCGGGCUAGAGUACAGAAGGGGCAACUGGAAUUCUCGGUGUAGCGGUGAAAUGCGCAGAUAUCGGGAGGAACACCAAUUGCGAAGGCAGCUCGCUGGGACGUCACUGACGCUGAGACGCGAAAGCGUGGGGAGCAAACAGG